GCCUGGCUGGCUCAGCUGGUAGAGCAUGGGACUCUUGAUCUUGGGGUUGUGAGUUCAAGCCCCACAUUGAGCU
rnacentral:tRNA from 1 species